rnacentral:lncRNA from 10 species
UCUUCAGGCACAGAGAUUUCACACAAAGAAGUGAUAAACACUGCAUACAUAUAUAUUUAUAUAGUUAUUUAGAUUCAUAUAUAUAUGCAAACACAUAAACAUGGGAGGAUGCACAUCGAACUGCUGAUUAUGAUGACCGUCAGAGAGGGGAUUUAGGGGCUGUCUGUUUCCCAUGCUGUUCCCAUUUUUGUGAAACCAUAUUUUUUUGUUUUUUGAGACAGGGUCUUGCUUGUCAUCCACGCUGGCGUGCAGUGACACAAUCAUGGCUCACUGCAGCCUGGGCCUCCCAGACUCACAUGAUUCUCCCACCUCAGCCUCCUGAGCAGCUGAUAGUUCAGGAAUGACCUACCACACCCAGCUAAUUUUUGUAUUUUCUGUAGAGAUGGGGUUUUACCAUGUUGCCCAAGCUGGUCUUGAACUCCUGGGCUCAAGAUAUCCCCCUACCCCUGCCUCCCAAAGUGCUGGGAUUAUAGGCAUGAGCCAUCACAUCCCGCCUGAAAUCGUAUUUAUAACCAAACAUAACCCAAUCAAAGGUUAGAUUCCUUGAUGUAAAAUAGCCAAUGGUAGGAAGAUGAUGUUGAGAUUCACCCUGGGACCUCCCUGGAAACUGCCAUAUCCACAGCAAACAGAAGUUGCUCAAUAAAUGUUAGUCCAAAGGAAAAAGAGCAUUUCUCCCAUUUAAUCAUUCAGUGAGAGUCCACCACAUAUGUUACACUGUGCAUUUAUUUACAAAGAGGUUAGAGAAACACACAGAAUCUGGCCCCCCUUUGCA